rnacentral:rRNA from 1 species
AUACGGAGGGUCCGAGCGUUAUCCGGAAUCAUUGGGUUUAAAGGGUCCGUAGGCGGGAAUCUAAGUCAGUGUUGAAAUCUUGCAGCUCAACUGUAAAAUUGCCAUUGAUACUGGAUUUCUUGAAUUAGUGUGAAGUGAUUAGAAUGUGUAGUGUAGCGGUGAAAUGCAUAGAUAUUACACAGAAUACCAAUUGCGAAGGCAGAUCACUAACACUAUACUGACGCUGAGGGACGAAAGCGUGGGGAGCGAACAGGAUUAGAAACCCCAGUAGUCC